rnacentral:misc_RNA from 1 species
UCCGGUUUGUCACCGGCAGUCCCAUUAGAGUGCCCAACUGAAUGUAGCAACUAAUGGCAAGGGUUGCGCUCGUUGCGGGACUUAACCCAACAUCUCACGGCACGAGCUGACGACAGCCAUGCAGCACCUAGUUUCGUGUCAUUGCUGACUGACGCGUUUCCACGUCAUUCACUAACUUUCAAGCCCUGGUAAGGUUCCUCGCGUAUCAUCGAAUUAAACCACAUGCUCCUCCGCUUGUGCGGGCCCCCGUCAAUUCCUUUGAGUUUCAGUCUUGCGACCGUACUCCCCAGGCGGCGAACUUAACGCGUUAGCUUCGACACUGAGAGUCUGAUUGCUCCCAACGUCCAGUUCGCAUCGUUUAGGGCGUGGACUAC